GUGCAAUUGCACCGUCUGGGGAUGAGCCUGCGGUCCAUUAGGUAGUUGGCGGGGUAAGAGCCCACCAAGCCGACGAUGGAUAGCCGGCCUGAGAGGGUGUACGGCCACACUGGAACUGAGUCACGGUCCAGACUCCUACGGGAGGCAGCAGCUAAGAAUCUUCCGCAAUGGGGGAAACCCUGACGGAGCGACGCCGCGUGGACGAUGGAGGCCGUAAGGUUGUAAAGUCCUUUUCCUGGUGAAGAAUGAGCGGGGGAGUGGAAAGCCCCUGUGAUGACGUUAGCCAGGGAAUAAGCCCCGGCCAAUUACGUGCCAGCAGCCGCGGUAAUACGUAUGGGGCAAGCGUUGUUCGGAGUUAUUGGGCGUAAAGGGCGCGUAGGCGGCUUUGCAAGUCAGAUGUGAAAGCCCCGAGCUUAACUCGGGAAUUGCAUCUGAAACUGCUUAGCUUGAGUCCUGGAUGGGAUAGUGGAAUUCCCAGUGUAGCGGUGAAAUGCGUAGAUAUUGGGAGGAACACCUGCGGCGAAGGCGGCUAUCUGGACAGUGACUGACGCUGAGGCGCGAAAGCUAGGGGAGCGAACGGGAUUAGAUACCCCGGUAGUCCUAGCUGUAAACGAUGGGCACUUGGUGUUGGGGGUAUUGAGUCCCUCGGUGCCGGAGUUAACACGUUAGGUGCCCCGCCUGGGGAGUACGGUCGCAAGACUGAAACUCAAAGGAAUUGACGGGGGCCCGCACAAGCGGUGGAGCAUGUGGUUCAAUUCGACGCAACGCGAAGAACCUCACCGGGGCUUGAACUGUAACUGCUACCCGUGGAAACAUGGGAUUCUCUUCGGAGACGGUUAUAGAGGUGCUGCAUGGCUGUCGUCAGCUCGUGUCGUGAGAUGUUGGGUUAAGUCCCGUAACGAGCGCAACCCUUACUCUUAGUUGCCAUCAGGUUAAGCUGGGCACCCUAAGAGAACUGUCGGCGAAAAGCCGGAGGAAGGUGGGGAUGACGUCAAGUCCUCAUGGCCCUUACGUCCCGGGCUACACACGUGCUACAAUGGCUGGUACAAAGGGUUGCCAACCCGCGAGGGGGAGCUAAUCCCAAAAAACCAGUCCCAGUUCGGAUUGCAGUCUGCAACUCGACUGCAUGAAGUUGGAAUCGCUAGUAAUCGCAGAUCAGCAUGCUGCGGCGAAUACGUUCCCGGGCCUUGUACACACCGCCCGUCACAUCACGAAAGUGGGUUGUACUAGAAAUCGCUGGGCUAACCCGUAAGGGAGGCAGGCGCUUAAGGUAUGAUCCAUGAUUGGGGUGAAGUCGUAACAAGGUA
rnacentral:rRNA from 1 species